rnacentral:lncRNA from 1 species
CUGUGAGUAUCCAGAAAUAAACGAUUUAAAACAAACCCGAUACCUGUUGGAUACUUGGUGGGUGCUUCUUGGAUACGGCCCAGCCCACAUAACAAGAGAUAACGAGUAACCAGGCAACCCUAGUCCGCCGACGCCCCAUCCUUUCCCUCCCCCUCUUUCCUUCCGAGCUCCACAGGCCACAGCAGGCAGCGGCUGCUCACCCAGCGGCGGCAGCAGGCCGGCGGCGAGCCUACGAGGAGCUGCUCCUCCUUCCUCACCGACUCCCCGUCGUCCUCGUCUCCGACUCCCCCUCACCCUCAGCCCCUCUCACGCAGCAGCCCAGACCUCUUGUCAAGCUCGAUCCUGGUGGCAGCUCAUCGGUUGAGGUCGGCACAACCACCAACGUAUGUACACUGAGUUGUUUAGCCGCCAGCCACCGUAGCUAAGCUCACUUCCUCUCUGUCUUCUCCUUUCUCCUCUCAUGAUGUAUCUCCUCUGACCCCCUCCUCCAGAUGGCUCCUCCUGCUGAACCUACCAAUCUAAGGGCUCCAUUGUGGAGCCAUGUUACAAUUAUAGAGAAAUCACCAGCUGAGGUUGUAAUGGCUCGAAUUGCAUUAGCACAAAACAAGACAAAGAAUGUGUCCUUGCCUAGUGAUUAAGCAAGUUUUGCUUCAUCAAAUGCAAGCACUGAGAAGAAGAGGGGAGAAGGACCAAAUACUACAUUACAGAAUGUUUGGUGAGUGAUUUACGCGAGCAAUUGGAUUAAAAAAUUGCAAGAUCUUUUUAUUCUUGAGAUGUGCAAUAAAUGUACAGCCAAACCAAUUAUUUCAUUUUCAUGCAUCUAUAUGAUUAUCUGUUGUUUCUAACUUCUAUACUUUUUUGUUUUGAAUUUAAAAGAUAGUAAAACGUAUCUCCGUAUUGGCACUUUUUCAAAAUGGCGAAUUUACGUAUCAGUAUCGGUGCUUCAUAGGUUGCAUCCAACAUAAAAUCCUGCCAUUCAGCAACCUACCUACCACGGGAGUCACAUGCACCACAGAUGAAUAUUAUUAACACAAUGGUUAUGCGCGCAGCACUCCAACUUGCUGUACGAAUUCAGGCCACUUAUUCAAUUAUUCUAGCCUAAUUUAUCAUGAGGCUAACAGCAUCAAUCAUGCAUAACAAAGGCGGUUAUGACCAUCAUUCAGUGCCAUUCUUUCUUUCUUUUUUUGGUCAAACAGUACUAUGUUGCAAUUGAGGUCUCCCAAGGCCUCACACUUGGAUCACCGGGUUUCUGCUAUGAUACAGGCAUCCCACCACUGCCCUCUGCUUUAGUUCAGGCCUGCGCCAACUAUUCACAAGACACGUACAUGAGCAUAACUAUGGAGCAACGGGCUUUUGGAUGGCUCUCCUCUCUCUCCCUCCCGCUCCUCUCUCCCCCCUCCCCUGCCCCUCCGCCGCCGUCCCUUGCUCCUCUGUGGUCGUCCCGGGCCCUGGUCCGCCCCCUCCCCCAAGUCUGGUUCUUCUCCCUCGGUACGCUCACCGGUGUCGCGGGCUCCACUUCCUCCCCCAGCGUCGUUUGGCUCUCGCUUUUGGGCCCUCAAUCCGAUGAGGACUGCUCGUCGGACGAGGAGGCCUUGUGCUCGCCCUCGCCGGUCCUUCCUGUGCGGACCUCCUCUCCGUCCGCUGCGCCCCGUUCCCGCAAGUUUGGGCCUGGAGGUCGGGGCCGGCCGGUGCCGCCCCCGUCGUCUGACGCUGGCUGGGUCCGGGUCUCUCGCCGCCGUCGCAAGUCUGGUAAGUUUUCCCUUCCCUCGCCCGGAUCUGGGAUCCUGAGUGCCGCUCCGGCCAUGGUUUGCCCUCCCUCUCCUCCCUCUGCCUCUGCUCCGUCGUCUCCGGCGACGGCGGCGGCGGGAUGCGUCAUGGAGACGGCGGCGCCUGCCCUAGAUCUGGUCUCCCACCCGUUGACUAGUGGGUCACGUGGUGGGCUGGUCGCUGGGCCUAUUGGGCCUCCUGGUUCUUCUCUGGCUAUCCAGCCCGCUCCUCCUAUUCUGUGAUCAGUUGACGAUUUUCCCCCCUUCCUCUUGGGGGCCCGUGCGGCUCCCGCUUGCCUGUGUCCUCCCUCCCCCCUCCCCCGGCCCAUGUGGCCCGCCAGGCCCAAGUGGUUUGGCUCGGUCUGGCUAUAUAUGGGUCCCCCGCGGCUCCGUUCCCCCCUUGCUAGGGUUUCCGACUUCCGCCGCUGACUUGCGUAGACACCGUGCCCCCAUUCGCCGUCUCGUCAGAUCCACCCCUCCCCCUCCCCUCCUCCUCUCCUUCGUGGCGGCUCUCUCCAUGGACAAGUCCAGGGGCUCGUCUUGUGAUGUUGUCUCGGGUAGCAAGCGCCAGCGUGAGGACUUGCCGGGCUCGGGUGUGGAUCUGGAGCUCGAGGCCUCCUUGCGUUUCAAGCUGGAGGCGGAGCAGGUGGCUCGCGAUCGUGCUGCGUGGGCUGCUGGUCCGGAGUCGCUCCAGCAAGGCUCUGGAUCUGGGCCGUCUCUCCCUCCGGCGCUGGAUCCAUGGGAGGCGGCGGCUGGUGGGGGGGCGCUCGUCCUCGUCGAGCUCUUUGCCUGGCCAGGGUGCGGGGCGUCGCGCUCCUGCCCCGGUGCGGUAGGUCCCUCGCCCUGUAGGCGCUGGCGCUGGGCCUCGCCCCCCUCCGCGGUCCUUCGCCGGCCCGGUCCGGCGCCCUGUUGGCCCUCACCCUGGCGCGUCUUCGUCGGGGGUGGGGGAUGGCAUCCUUCCUCCUCCUCCCUCCCUUCCGAUGCAUCGCCCUAUCCCUGCAACCCUGAGCAACCCCUCGGCUCUUACCUGUUUUGCCUGUCAUCAGCCCGGGCAUUUUCAAUCCAGAUGCACCAAUCCCCCAUUCUGCCUGAUUUGCCGUUCAUAUGGGCACCUCACUGUCAACUGUCAGAAUCGUCAGAAGCCUCCUUCCUCCAAUUUGGCUCGGGCCUCCCUGGAUGCUCCUUUUUCGCCUUGGACUGUGAUCUACCUGUUCUGGUGGCGGCCCCCUCCCUUUCCAAUGCCACCAUUAUCACGGUGCAAGAGCAAAAGAUCUCCUCCCAAACUCUGCUUGAAGGGCUUCGUAUCUGGGAUGUCGAAGGAUGGGACUGGCAAGUGAAUCAAUUGUCAGACUUUGAGUUCUCUGUUGUUUUCCCCUCCAAGGACUGCCUCCGUAUGAUUGCGUCGUGCACCAGCUUCACCCUCCCCCUCAAUUAGCUGGUGGUGUCGGUGAAGCCUGCGUCCUGCGGUGGAAAAGCUGUUGGCCCUCUCUCAGAUUUGGGUUUUGGUGGAUGAUGUGCCAGUGGAGCUCCGCUCGUCUUCCUUUCUGAUGGCCUUUGGCGCUCUGAUUGGUAAACCAGUGGAAGUGGACGCGGAAUCGCUGGAUAAGGUUGGUCCUGCUCGUAUCAAGAUCUGGUGUGUUGACCCACUCUGUGUCCGCGGAUCGAUUGAUGUGUUUCCCUCGCCCAAUGGUGUCAGAAUGCGUGUUCGGGUGGAAGGAGCUGAAGCCUUCCACCACCAUCCCCCCUCCCCCUCAUCCAACCUCUCGGAUAAGCAUGAUAAGAAUGGGGAUGGUUCUAUGGGUGGGCAGAACCCUAGUGGGGGUUCUGAUCUGUGCUUCACUCAAUCCGAAUGGGACGGGCUGGCUGAAUCUGAGCGGGAAUUGUUCAAGUCUCAAGCGCCUGUUGAUAAGGCCCCUCGCGAGGCAGAGGCCGCCCCUCUUUCUGCCCCAGUGAUGCAUGCUGAAGAUGAUUUGUUGCGCAAGAAGCCGGCUGCCACGGUCACCCCCAUCUCCAGGGCCUGCUCCAACCUCCCGGGCCGCCCUCUCUCUCCCACGCGCUCGGGUAUUGAGGAUCUGCCCCUCACCCCUGGCCGUGCUGAUGAUGAUUCGCAAUCCAAGAGGAAGAAGAAAUCUUCGGUGCGGAAAUUCUCUGCGAAGAGCAAGGCUUCUUCGGGCUCUAAGCAGUCGAUGACGGGAGUUUGCCGUCGCCUCGACAAGGAUCUUGCCUUGAUGUCGCGUUCGGGUCCUGCUCCGGCCUCUCCCAUGGCUCGCUCUCCCUCGAUCCGGUCGCCUACCUCCACGGCUCGCAAGGGCAGGCGGGUGUGUGACGCGGGUGAAUCGGUGAUGGCGCGGGCGGAGCGGCGGGCGGCUGCUAAGGAUCGUCCUCCUUGAGGUAAUAAUAUUGGUCCAAUCCCUCCCCCUUCCCCGAUUCGGCUUGUUCUACCUCCUCUUUCUGAUGAUCACCUGUUAAAUAUCAUGUCUGAUGUGGGCGUUUCUGUCGACUCCGAGCUAGGCUCUCCUUCCUCCCUCCUUUCUUCUAUUCGGGCCAAUGAGGUGGCCCAGGCUGCCAUUGCUAAGGCCAAAGAGGCUGUUGCCUCUACGGCUACAGUUUCAGUGAGUGUUGGGUCUCAGGGGGAUGGCGUGGUGGUUGGUAGUGGCCAACCCCAGCCAAGCUAUUCUAGGAGGGGCAUUGCCAAAAGAUCAAAACCCUGUGUAGCCCCUAGCAGGUCGAGUCUCCACAUCAAAAAUCUUUCCUAUAAAUGAAAGCCUUAUUUUGGAACAUCAGGGGGUUUGGUGCUAGGGGACGCCGAGACCAGAUUAGUGAUUUAGUGCGUGGGAAUAAUAUUGACAUUGUUGGGCUAGUCGAAACCUUUAGAGAAUCCUUCUCUCCCAAUGAACUCUCUGCGAUCGCGGGCAUGGACAGAUUUGAUUGGCACGUGCUUCCUACUUCGGGCCAUUCGGGAGAGAUCUUGAUUGGCUCCAAAAACGAUGUCUUUGACUUCAUGGCUUUUGAUCAUGGCAUUUUUUGGGCUAGCACGAUAGUUUAUCAUAAAGUUCUUAACACUCUGUGUGAAUUUAUUGUGGUAUAUGGCCCUGCUGAUCAUUCGCUGUCCUCUCAGUUCCCGGAUGAGCUCUCUGCUAAGAUCGAGGCAUGUAAUAUACCGAUAGUUAUCGGUUGUGACUUUAAUCUUCUUCGCUCCCCCUCGGACAAAAGCAAUGGCAAUUUCUCCUGGCCUCUGGCUAAUGCCUUCAACAACUUCAUUAGCUCCAGUGCUAUCCGCAAGCUUCCUAGGGUGGGGGCCCGCUUUACUUGGUCUAACCAUCAAGCUAUCUCGAUUAGAUCUGUGCUAGAUCGAGUGUUCAUUUGUUCCAGUUGGGACUCUCUUUUUCCUCGGGCUUCCCUUCUUGCUAAAAGUCUCGUGGGCUCCGACCAUACCCCUCUCCUUCUUCACGCUGGGAUGCAUCAAGAUAGACCACCCUCUAGAUUCCAAUUUGAUGCUUCCUGGCUGCUCGUCGAAGGGUUUAAUGACAUGUUGGCUACUAAGAUCCUUAACCUCUUGGCCCCAAAUCCCCGCUCCUUUGGUCCUAUGAAUGACUGGCAUUCCUGUUCCUAUGAACUGUGAAAAUUCCUUAGAGGUUGGUCCCGUAACCACGCUGCGGAGGAACGUAGGUCGAAGAAUGCUCUUGAAUCCCAGAUCAUGGACCUAGACCGCACGGCCGAUACUUUGGGUCUCUCCGAUGAUGGGUGGGCUCUGCGCUAUAAUCUAGAGGCCGCCUUGAUGCAGUUGCAUCAUCAGGCAGAAGUGUAUUGGCGCCAGCGUAGCACGUUAAAUUGGACGCUAAAAGGGGAUUCCCCUACUGCGUAUUUCUUCGCCAUCUCUAAUGGUCGAAGGAGGCGAUGUUGUAUUAACAACCUGAUUAUUAAUGGUGCUCGGUCCUCGGACCAAUCCGUGAUCCUCUCUCAUGUGGUGGACUUCUUCUCUUCGCUUCUAGGGGCCAAACCUCCUUGCGGCUUCUCUAUCUCUCCCCCCCUGUGGGACCAUAAUAUGAAAAUUUCGGCCGAAGAGAACGAAGCCUUGAUGGUGCCCCUAUCUAAUAAGGAAAUUUGGGAUGUGGUUAACUCUGCCAACCCUAAUGAUGCUUCGGGGCCGGAUGGAUUCUCGAUCCCCUUCUUCAGAAAAUUCUAGCCGCAGUUGCGACAGUUGGUCUAUCAGGUUAUUCAGGGCUUUUGUCUGGGUACCAUUGACAUAUCUCACCUCAAUUAUGCGGUGAUCACCUUGAUUCCUAAAGUUAAAGGUGCUGAGCUGAUUUCCCAGUUCAGGCCUAUUGCGCUGAUCAAUAAUUUCGCCAAGCUUCCAGCUAAGGGUUUUGCAACACGCCUCUCCCCUGUUGCUCAUCGAGUUAUCAGCCCGUCCCAAUCUGCUUUCAUCAAAGGGUGUUUCAUUUUAGAUGGUAUUCUCUGUCUCCAUGAGAUCGUUCAUGACCUGAGAUCUCGUAAAUCUAAAGUUGUCAUCCUCAAAUUGGACUUUGAGAAAGCCUAUGAUUCGGUUAGUUGGCCUUUCCUAAGAAAGGUUCUCUUAGCGAAAGGCUUCGAUGGGGCGUAUGUUCAUCGUAUUAUGCAGUUGGUCUCGGGAGGCCACACUGCGGUCUCUGUUAAUGGUCACGUUAGUAACUUCUUUGUCAAUGGCAGGGGCCUGCGACAGGGCGAUCUUGCCUCCCCUGUUUUGUUCAACUUCGUUGCCGAUGCCUUUUCCCGCAUCUUGUCUAGGGCUGCCCAUCAUGGUCAUAUCUUACCGGUGGUCUCUCAUCUAAUCCCGGAUGGUAUUACUCACCUGCAAUACGCUGAUGACACCAUUAUUAUGGUUGAAUUGAACGAUGAAUGCAUUGCCCACCUCAAGUUUAUCCUCCUGUGUUUUGAGGCGGUUUCGGGUCUGAAAAUUAACUUUUCUAAGAGUGAGGUCCUUAUCACUGGUGUUGAUGAUGCAGAGACUUUGAGAGUGGCUCGGCUCCUCAACUGUAACCUGGGCUCCUUUCCCUUUAAAUACCUCGGUCUUCCCAUUUCGCCAGAUCUGCUCCAUUGAAAAGACUUUGCGCCGGCUGUUUCUAAGGUGGGAAACAGGGUCCUUCCCUGGCGUGGUAGGUACAAUACCAAUGCCGGGAAAGUGGCUCUGAUCAAUGCUUGUCUGUCCUCCCUUCCUAUGUUUCUAAUGGGCUUUUAUCUUCUUUCGGCUGGUAUUCAUGCGGGUUUUGACAAGCACAGGGGUGCUUUUUAUUGGAACGCUGCUGACAACAGACGGAAAUAUAGGCCGGUUAAAUGGAAACUCAUGUGUAGGCCUAAAAACCUUGGGGGUUGGGCAUCAUCAACACGUCGGUCAUGAAUAAAUGCCUUAUGAUCAAAUGGUGGUGGAAGAUCAUGUCUAGUGGGGCCAGCUCCUUAUGGUACUCUAUUCUUAAAGCUAAAUAUUUUCCCCACUCUAGCCCGAUGUUUGCUAGGGCCCAGCGUGGAUUUCAAUUCUGGAAGGAUCUUAUUAAAGUUCAGCCUCUGUUCCUCGAACAUGUUAAGUUCAUCGUAGGAGAUGGUUCCUCGGUUCGUUUUUGGCUUGAUUGGUGGUGUGGAGAUACUCCCCUCUCUGUUAGAUUCCAUGUUCUUUUUUCGUAUUGCCCUAACCCAAACAUCUCCAUCGCGGAGGUGUCGGCUAAUAAUUGGGAUCUGGCUUUCCGCCGCUCCCUUUCUCCUGAAGAGUUGGAAGAUUGGCAAAGUCUCUCUACCUUAUUCCCCAUGCUCUCGGAGGUUCCGGAUUCAAUGGUUUGGCCUCACUCCACCUCGGGCCGCUUUUUGGUUAAAUCCUUGUACUCUAGACUUAUUGGUGGUGCCCCUUCUAAUAGAUUUUCUAGCAUUUGGCGUUCCCGUGUUCCUCCGAAAAUCAAAAUCUUUCUCUGGCAGGCCUUCAGAGGCCGUCUCCCCACGGCUGACCAAAUCCGUAAGCGGAAUGGGCUGGGCUCGGAGUUUUGUGCUCUCUGUGGGGCCUUGGAGGACACGAAUCACAUUUUUUCCCGUUGUGUGCUUGCUAAACUGGUAUAGAGAUGUGUCAGAUCCUGGCUCCAAGUUACUUGGAAUCCCUCCUCCUUUCUUGAGCUGAGAAGUCUUGCCAAUUCAUUGGCUGGUGUUACAAAGAGGGUCUUUUGGGUUGGUCUGGGUGCUAUAUGCUGGUCGCUUUGGACUAUUAGGAACAAAUUUAUGAUCGAACAUGUCUUUCCUACUAAAGCUGCUGAAUGUUUAUUUAAAUCAUGUAUCUUCUUGCAACAGUGGAGAUCAUUGACUAAGGGGGACGACCGGGAAGCUCUUGAUCUGCUCAUAUCUAAAAUCCGGGCCUCGGUGUCGUCUCUUAUUGGGCAGGAUCCUGAUGUCUGAUCUCGAAUUUUGGUGGCUCUUCGACUUAGUUGUUGGCUUUGUCUUUCCUUAAUUUCCGGCCUGCGUGCCGUGUCUGGCAGGGUGCCAUGUAUCCGUCUUACUUUCGUGCUCGUCGUUGAUUGCCCGUGUUUUGGUGAACUGGUGGUGGCUUCGUCCCCGUGUUGCUGUGUUGGCUCUGUAACUCUGCCGUGUGGCUUUAUUUUUAAAGUCGGGCUUAGGCCUUUUCUCUAAAAAGAAGCAUAACUAUGUGCUCCAUCCGUUCCUAAAUAUAAGUCUUUCUAGAGAUUCC